rnacentral:rRNA from 1 species
GGAGGGGUGAGUAACGCGUGAGAAUCUACCCAUGAGUGGGGGACAACCCGGGGAAACUCGGGCUAAUACCGCAUACGCCCUACGGGGUAAAGCAGGGGACCUUCGGGCCUUGCGCUGAUGGAUGAGCUCGCGUCGGAUUAGCUUGUUGGUGAGGUAAAGGCUCACCAAGGCGACGAUCCGUAGCUGGUCUGAGAGGAUGAUCAGCCACACCGGGACUGAGACACGGCCCGGACUCCUACGGGAGGCAGCAGUGGGGAAUCUUGGACAAUGGGGGCAACCCUGAUCCAGCCAUGCCGCGUGUGUGAAGAAGGCCUUCGGGUUGUAAAGCACUUUCAGCAGGGAGGAAGGCUUACCCCUAAUACGGGUGAGUACUUGACGUUACCUGCAGAAGAAGCACCGGCUAAUUUCGUGCCAGCAGCCGCGGUAAUACGAAAGGUGCAAGCGUUAAUCGGAAUUACUGGGCGUAAAGCGCGCGUAGGCGGUGUGUUAAGUCGGAUGUGAAAGCCCAGGGCUCAACCUUGGAAUUGCAUCCGAUACUGGCACGCUAGAGUGCAGUAGAGGGAGGUGGAAUUUCCGGUGUAGCGGUGAAAUGCGUAGAGAUCGGAAGGAACACCAGUGGCGAAGGCGGCCUCCUGGACUGACACUGACGCUGAGGUGCGAAAGCGUGGGGAGCAAACAGGAUUAGAUACC